rnacentral:rRNA from 1 species
CUUGAGUGCAGAAGAGGAGAGUGGAAUUCCACGUGUAGCGGUGAAAUGCGUAGAGAUGUGGAGGAACACCAGUGGCGAAGGCGACUCUCUGGUCUGUAACUGACGCUGAGGAGCGAAAGCGUGGGGAGCGAACAGGAUUAGAUACCCUGGUAGUCCACGCCGUAAACGAUGAGUGCUAAGUGUUAGGGGGUUUCCGCCCCUUAGUGCUGCAGCUAACGCAUUAAGCACUCCGCCUGGGGAGUACGGUCGCAAGACUGAAACUCAAAGGAAUUGACGGGGGCCCGCACAAGCGGUGGAGCAUGUGGUUUAAUUCGAAGCAACGCGAAGAACCUUACCAGGUCUUGACAUCCUCUGACAAUCCUAGAGAUAGGACGUCCCCUUCGGGGGCAGAGUGACAGGUGGUGCAUGGUUGUCGUCAGCUCGUGUCGUGAGAUGUUGGGUUAAGUCCCGCAACGAGCGCAACCCUUGAUCUUAGUUGCCAGCAUUCAGUUGGGCACUCUAAGGUGACUGCCGGUGACAAACCGGAGGAAGGUGGGGAUGACGUCAAAUCAUCAUGCCCCUUAUGACCUGGGCUACACACGUGCUACAAUGGACAGAACAAAGGGCAGCGAAACCGCGAGGUUAAGCCAAUCCCACAAAUCUGUUCUCAGUUCGGAUCGCAGUCUGCAACUCGACUGCGUGAAGCUGGAAUCGCUAGUAAUCGCGGAUCAGCAUGCCGCGGUGA